rnacentral:rRNA from 1 species
AUACGGAGGAUCCGAGCGUUAUCCGGAUUUAUUGGGUUUAAAGGGAGCGUAGGCGGAUUGUUAAGUCAGUUGUGAAAGUUUGCGGCUCAACCGUAAAAUUGCAGUUGAAACUGGCAGUCUUGAGUACAGUAGAGGUGGGCGGAAUUCGUGGUGUAGCGGUGAAAUGCUUAGAUAUCACGAAGAACUCCGAUUGCGAAGGCAGCUCACUAGACUGUUACUGACACUGAUGCUCGAAAGUGUGGGUAUCAAACAGGAUUAGAUACCCUGGUAGUCCACACAGUAAACGAUGAAUACUCGCUGUUUGCGAUAUACAGUAAGCGGCCAAGCGAAAGCAUUAAGUAUUCCACCUGGGGAGUACGCCGGCAACGGUGAAACUCAAAUGAAUUGACGGGG